UGCCCUUGAGUGCUGAGCUAAGUACCUGGAAAAGAACCACUGUGAAUUCUGCAGCUAUGGAAACCCUGGGGCUGCCUGUGGUCAGAGAGGGGCUUCAAGAUCAGUGAUUUUCCAGCAGCUGGGAGAAGGGACUGGAACAGAGCCCCCCUGAACCGUUCUGACAGCCCAGAUUAGAAGGGGGAAGGUGGAGGAAAGGCAGAGAGUCAUACCAUGAAGCUGGCCAGGGUGAUUCUCUGACUCCUGGAAUGGCAGACCUGAUCGUCUGCCCUUCCCACGUCUUCGCCGAUCGGUCCCCACUUUCCAGCCUGCACAAGUGCCUUGGAGCCCUACCCUUUGGAUGCAGCCAAAGCCAUUCCUAGCAGCCCUUGAGGGUUCUAACAACACGACUGUGGAGUCAGAGUCCUGUCUCCUGGGAUCCCAAGGCUUCAUCCAGGGACAGCUACAUGUAAAUCAGGAAGAGAAAUCUGCCGUGGAAAAGGUCUCCAUUGACCAACUGCUCCUCUGGUCUCUGACUGUCCAGCAGACAAGUGCACUGCAGUAAUGAAAUCCACGACUUCCCACCUCUGCUAGUGAAGUGUCAGCAUGUACCGUGUGAAACCCAGGAAGGCUCAUCUGUCUCAUGAGUGAUUUCCUUUCCUGAGGAAGGCCCUCCAAGGAGCCAUGCAUCUCUGGAACGGAUCACCCAUGCUGACAGAACUGAAGAUUGAACCUCUAACUAACAUGACUUGUGCAGGUGACAGGGAAAUUGUUUGUAAUACAACUUCAUUUCUUUAAAAGCAGCUACGGAUUUUAUACUUGGGUGAAAUUAUAUCCCACAUACUAAUUUAAUAAACUCCUCUAAGCUUACACAGAGUCUCUUCUUGGAAAAGGAUGUGUUUCUGAUCCACUGGCCGGUGCACUGAAUGAUUUCCCGCUACAACCCAAGGGAGAAGGAGUAGUGAAGACUGAAAACUAGGCAAAGCCAAUUCGUAUUCUGACGAAACUUUACAAAUGCUGUUUAUGACAAAACCCAGUUGUAAAAACUAAAGGGUAAGGUGAACACCCAAACCCUGCCAUUAAAAUAACAAAGAAAGGGGAUCCCUGCUACCUUUGGUUAAUCUUUUCCAGUGGAACCUUCUUGUCUUGUGUCUCAUUACCUCAAGUCCCAAGAUUUCCAACCCUGGGUAAAGACUGUCUCCUCAGGGCCAGGCACAGUGGCCCAUGCCUGUGAUCCCAGCAAUUUGGGAGGCCGAGGCGGGUGGAUCUCUUGAGGUCAGGAGUUUGAGACCAGCCUGGCCAACAUGGUGAA